rnacentral:rRNA from 1 species
UACGAGAGGUCCAAACGUUAUUCGGAAUCACUGGGCUUACAGAGUUCGUAGGCGGUCCAGAAAGUGGGGUGUGAAAGCCCUCGGCUCAACCGAGGAACUGCGCUCCAAACUACUGGGCUAGAGGAAGAUAGAGGUGAGCAGAACUGAUGGUGGAGCGGUGAAAUGCGUUGAUAUCGUGAGGAACACCAGAGGCGAAGGCGGCUACCUGGACAAUUGCUGACGCUCAGGCACGAAAGCGUGGGGAGCAAAAGGG